UCCAGACUCCUACGGGAGGCAGCAGUGGGGAAUAUUGCACAAUGGGCGCAAGCCUGAUGCAGCCAUGCCGCGUGUAUGAAGAAGGCCUUCGGGUUGUAAAGUACUUUCAGCGGGGAGGAAGGUGUUGCGGUUAAUAACCGCAGCAAUUGACGUUACCCGCAGAAGAAGCACCGGCUAACUCCGUGCCAGCAGCCGCGGUAAUACGGAGGGUGCAAGCGUUAAUCGGAAUUACUGGGCGUAAAGCGCACGCAGGCG
rnacentral:rRNA from 5 species